rnacentral:misc_RNA from 1 species
UGAAAGCCUCCCAAGCCCGGGUACAACACAAACGCCGGUACCUCAGGUACCAAGGAACUGCAACAGAGCGAGUGCGCCUCAUGCCGAUUGCACCCGAAACGACUCUCGGCAACGGAUAUCUCAGCUCUCGCAUCGAUGAAGAACGUAGCGAAAUGCAAUGCUUAGUGUGAAUUGCAGAAUCCCGUGAACCAUUGAGUCCUUGAACGCAAGUUGUGCCCAAAGCCAUUAGGCCGAGGGCACGCCUGCCCGGGCAUCACGCAACGUUGCCGCCGCCUCACGCGAGGCGCGGCGAAUGAUGGCCUCCCGGGGCCUCCAUCCCCUAGCUAGCCGAAAUGACGGCCUAGCGCGAUGGCGGCCACGAUCUACGGGGACGUUCGAGACCGAACGUGAUCGCACAAUCCCAUGGGGAGGGUCGGACCCCGAAUCCCACGGCGACCCUAGGUCAGGCGG